GCAGUCGAGCGGACAGAUGGGAGCUUGCUCCCUGAUGUUAGCGGCGGACGGGUGAGUAACACGUGGGUAACCUGCCUGUAAGACUGGGAUAACUCCGGGAAACCGGGGCUAAUACCGGAUGCUUGUUUGAACCGCAUGGUUCAAACAUAAAAGGUGGCUUCGGCUACCACUUACAGAUGGACCCGCGGCGCAUUAGCUAGUUGGUGAGGUAAUGGCUCACCAAGGCNACGAUGCGUAGCCGACCUGAGAGGGUGAUCGGCCACACUGGGACUGAGACACGGCCCAGACUCCUACGGGAGGCAGCAGUAGGGAAUCUUCCGCAAUGGACGAAAGUCUGACGGAGCAACGCCGCGUGAGUGAUGAAGGUUUUCGGAUCGUAAAGCUCUGUUGUUAGGGAAGAACAAGUACCGUUCGAAUAGGGCGGUACCUUGACGGUACCUAACCAGAAAGCCACGGCUAACUACGUGCCAGCAGCCGCGGUAAUACGUAGGUGGCAAGCGUUGUCCGGAAUUAUUGGGCGUAAAGGGCUCGCAGGCGGUUUCUUAAGUCUGAUGUGAAAGCCCCCGGCUCAACCGGGGAGGGUCAUUGGAAACUGGGGAACUUGAGUGCAGAAGAGGAGAGUGGAAUUCCACGUGUAGCGGUGAAAUGCGUANAGAUGUGGAGGAACACCAGUGGCGAA
rnacentral:rRNA from 1 species